CAGUCGCCACGGUAAUACGGAGGGGGCUAGCGUUGUUCGGAAUUACUGGGCGUAAAGCGCACGUAGGCGGCUUGGUAAGUUAGAGGUGAAAGCCCGGAGCUCAACUCCGGAAUUGCCUUUAAGACUGCCGAGCUAGCAGGUGAGAGAGGUAAGUGGAAUUCCGAGUGUAGAGGUGAAAUUCGUAGAUAUUCGGAAGAACACCAGUGGCGAAGGCGGCUUACUGGCUCAUACUGAACGCUGAGGUGCGAAAGCGUGGGGAGCAAACAGGAUUAGAUACCCCGGUAGUCCCUGUCUCUUAUAC
rnacentral:rRNA from 1 species